CCUUGGGUCCGGCAUAACCCCGGGAAACUGGGGAUAAUUCCGGAUAACGCACAUAUGCUGGAAUGCUUUAUGCGUCAAAUGGAUUCGUCUGCCCAAGGAUGGGUCCCGUGCCAUAUCAGGUAGUAGUGGGUGUAAUGUACCUACUAGCCGACGACGGGUACGGGUUGUGAGAGCAAGAGCCCGGAGAUGGAUUCUGAGACAUGAAUCCAGGCCCUACGGGGCGCAGCAGGCGCGAAAACUUUACAAUGCGGGAAACCGUGAUAAGGGGACACCGAGUGCCAGCAUCAUAUGCUGGCUGUCCGGGUGUGUAAAAUACACCUGUUAGCAAGGGCCGGGUUAGACCGGUGCCAGCCGCCGCGGUAACACCGGCGGCCCGAGUGGUGAUCGUGAUUAUUGGGUCUAAAGGGUCCGUAGCCGGUUUGGUCAGUCCUCCGGGAAAUCUGACGGCUUAACCGUUAGGCUUUCGGAGGAUACUGCCAGGCUUGGAACCGGGAGAGGUAAGAGGUACUACAGGGGUAGGAGUGAAAUCUUGUAAUCCCUGUGGGAC
rnacentral:rRNA from 1 species